GCAGUGAUGGCCGAGUGGUCUAAGGCGGUAGAUUUAAGACCAUUAAAUCUCUACUGGAGCGAUCCGCGUGGGUUCAAACCCCACUCACUGCA
rnacentral:tRNA from 1 species